rnacentral:rRNA from 1 species
GAACGCUGGCGGCAGGCCUAACACAUGCAAGUCGAACGCCCUAGCAAUAGGGAGUGGCAGACGGGUGAGUAACACGUGGGAACCUUCCCUAUAGGUAUGGAAUAGCCCAGGGAAACUUGGAGUAAUACCCGUAUACGCCCGAGAGGGGAAAGAUUUAAUCGCUAUAGGAUGGGGCCCGCGUAGGAUUAGCUAGUUGGUGAGGUAACGGCUCACCAAGGCGACGA